rnacentral:rRNA from 1 species
GAUGAACGCUGGCGGCGUGCCUAAUACAUGCAAGUCGAACGCACAGCGAAAGGUGCUUGCACCUUUCAAGUGAGUGGCGAACGGGUGAGUAACACGUGGACAACCUGCCUCAAGGCUGGGGAUAACAUUUGGAAACAGAUGCUAAUACCGAAUGAAACUUAGUGUCGCAUGAUACGAAGUUAAAAGGCGCUUUGGCGUCACCUAGAGAUGGAUCCGCGGUGCAUUAGUUAGUUGGUGGGGUAAAGGCCUACCAAGACAAUGAUGCAUAGCCAAGUUGAGAGACUGAUCGGCCACAUUGGGACUGAGACACGGCCCAAACUCCUACGGGAGGCUGCAGUAGGGAAUCUUCCACAAUGGGCGAAAGCCUGAUGGAGCAACGCCGCGUGUGUGAUGAAGGCUUUCGGGUCGUAAAGCACUGUUGUAUGGGAAGAACAGCUAGAAUAGGGAAUGAUUUUAGUUUGACGGUACCAUACCAGAAAGGGACGGCUAAAUACGUGCCAGCAGCCGCGGUAAUACGUAUGUCCCGAGCGUUAUCCGGAUUUAUUGGGCGUAAAGCGAGCGCAGACGGUUGAUUAAGUCUGAUGUGAAAGCCCGGAGCUCAACUCCGGAAUGGCAUUGGAAACUGGUUAACUUGAGUGCAGUAGAGGUAAGUGGAACUCCAUGUGUAGCGGUGGAAUGCGUAGAUAUAUGGAAGAACACCAGUGGCGAAGGCGGCUUACUGGACUGUAACUGACGUUGAGGCUCGAAAGUGUGGGUAGCAAACAGGAUUAGAUACCCUGGUAGUCCACACCGUAAACGAUGAACACUAGGUGUUAGGAGGUUUCCGCCUCUUAGUGCCGAAGCUAACGCAUUAAGUGUUCCGCCUGGGGAGUACGACCGCAAGGUUGAAACUCAAAGGAAUUGACGGGGACCCGCACAAGCGGUGGAGCAUGUGGUUUAAUUCGAAGCAACGCGGAGAACCUUACCAGGUCUUGACAUCC